UGACCACUUUCUCGACCUAGGAUGGUUCAGCAAGGAGGAAAGAAGACAGGAUGAAAAGAGAAAAUGAGCGGAUGUCAUUGUAGGUGGAAAGCGUUUGUUCUAAGUGAGUCACGUGGCUCUAGCCACCUAUCAAGUGACAUCUCUGAGAGCCAUUUAGGAUUCCCAGAAUACCUUUUGGCAGACUUCCGCUGGGCCAUGAGGGCUGGCCUAUAGCCAUUCCAUAAAAGCACAAUCUGAUCGGAGGACAUCAGCAAGAAAAGGUAGAGAUAUUUUUAAUUCGGGUCCUUGGACUUCAUUCUAGAAGGAAGUUGAAAAAAAAACCCGCUUCAGAUCAAUACCAUAUUGGAUUGAGAAUAUUGUCUGACAUGGCGCAUAUUGUCUGACAUUUUAAGAGAGCAAUAUUACUGAAUCUCACAGAAAUAAACACUGCAGCUGCCCCCUAAUCGGGCAUUCAGUGCAACAAAACAACUUUUGGAAAGCCCUGUCCACGGGAGAAAGGACUGCCUCACAUACUGUGCCUCUCGAGAACGGAAACAAGGAUAGUGUCUACCUUCCCGAGAAUUGACGUCGCAUUAAGAUUAUCUCCCGAUGAAAAGAGCUAAGCUGUUACCAUAAGCCCUGUUUCACUGAACCCACAGUUUGUGACCGUGCACACGGCAGCACAGGAUAAGGACUGCGUACAUUUCCUGGCCUCCCUUGCAGAUAGUGUCCGUGUGACCUAGUUCUGCUCAAUGGGAGGCAAGCAGAAGCGGUGUGUGCAACUUCUACUAAGUGUUCUCAAGUGGAGAGAGUAUGAUCUCCUUUGUCCUUCCCUUCAUCCUAGGGACUGGAAUUCGGAGGAUUGCUCACAUAGUGACUGUCGAAAAUGAACCUGAUGGUGGAGCUUCAGAUGACAUAGAAAGCCAGCGGAGGAGACGCUUUUGGUUAGGUUGCCUUGUAUGUCCUACUAACCUCGGGCAGGCAGUCCCCCUUACGUCCGGCUUGUGACCUUGUUUAAGUCCUGUAGAGGAAGACCCAAAUUCCCAGGAAUCAUCAGUGAUUUCUAGUCAUUACGGAAAUACUAUGGGCAAAGUUUCCAGAAAGAAGGGAUCCAUCUUUAAGGAUCUGAGGGUCAACUAAAAUUGUAGGAGAAAGGAAUUACGAGCGAGAUAGAUCUGUGAUUAUGACAUUGGUUGGGACGAGAAAUGAAAAUAUCCACAAACUCCCCGAGAGAGGACUCAGAAUGGGAGAGCUGGGGUGUCACCAGGAUAGACCUUGCCCAAACCCCCAUGGUUUCUGCCUCCACUCUCCUUCCAGGAUACUGUGGGCGUAAUCGGAGGACAGGACCGUGUCCAUUCCCCUUGGUGCCCUGGCAUCUAGCUACAGUACCUGGCACACAGCUGGUGCUGGGGGAAAAAGCAAUGAAUGAACGAACGGAUGAAUGAAUGAACACGGUGACGAAGUGUUGCCGUGAAGUCAGUCAGGUGUGUGCAACCUGAACUGCCACUUAGGCAUCUGUCAUCUACUUCCCCUAUUCGUCUUGCCAAUUUCUUCGUCGUCCUGUAAUCGCAUCGCUCAGACCUCUCAGCACGGCUUCAGUGGCGGCGGCGUCACUCACGGUGGCAGGUGGCAGGCUUCGCCCACUGCAUUAUUCGGUGUGUCACGAGCUGCCUCGGUUCUAAAGGAGAAGGAGCCUCAAAAAAGUGGCUUCCCCACUUGCAGGCAUGACACAGUGUCUUCGCUGCACGAACUUUUGGUCUCCCGCUUGGAUCCUACGGAGGUAACCUUUGCGGGGGCCUCAGGGAAAGUGGGACAAGUGGGUAAUGACACUGAGUGAAGGCAGUACAGACAACACCUUCCUCUGGGCUCUUAGACAAGCCUUUCCUGGUCCUCUCUGCUCCAGUCCCUGUGCAAUAGGACAAGGGUGGCUGUACCCCCUUGUGCCACCUUCCGGGGUUCUCAUGAGAAAAAUAGAUGGAGAAGCUCUUUGAAAAACUUGAUGUUCUAUUUAAAUGUUCUCUCUGGAGAAUGAAGUUUUCCUAGGGGCACAUCUUUUAGCUUUUCCUAUAACCCUGUCGCUCCCUAAGCCUUUUUCUUUUCUUUUUUUCCUAAAUGAGAGAGAGAAAAAAAAUCCCAUGUGCCAUUUCCUCCUCCGCCUUUCUCUCAUUAGGAUUAAAAAAAAAAAAAAAAAAAGGCAUUAUUUUCCGAGUUCCUCAGCAACUGAACUUUACGAGAUAGGAAAUUCUCAAUUCUGAGUCAAAAUUCACAUGUAAACCAAUUUUCUUAACCUGAUGCCUGCUUUUACAUUCAGAAAAGCUUCAGAUUUCUGUCUUCACAUCACCGUGAACUCUCCAUUUCUCCUGAGCUUGUUCAUCAGUCUCUGAGAAAAUUCUCCCAGCAACUCCCCCCCGCCCACAGUAAGGUCCUCCAGAUCAGUGUGAAACCCUUAAUUUAAUAACACCAUUACGGCUUCCCAACAUGGGUAAAUGAGAUAAACUACAUAUACGCCAGGAAAGAAGGAAAUUAAUUUUUCUCAGUUGAACAAAGGAGAAAGCCUUGCAAAAGCAGUAAUUUGACAGCUAAUAGCAGUAGGGAUCAUGGAGAAUCCUGAAUCAAGAGGUGGGGAGGUCAUGUAUCCUUGACAGGUUUCAGAAUACCUCCAGAGAUCCCAACAGCCACAGAUCGGAAAAGACCCAAGAGGCAAAACAUCCCUUAAGACACGAAAAGUGAUGGAUGGGAGUCUGAAAAGAGAGGACCCCGUCCUAUUCCGAACUCAGGUUUGACACUGGGGAUUCACAUUAAAUCAAGAGUCCCCAGAACUUGUGUUUUAGCUACGUCAAAGACUUUUGGUCAAUGUGUUGUUCAGGUCAUGAGCAGAAGACACCCAGCACCUCGUUUUCUAGACCCAGAUUUUUGGGGAGUGGAAGGGAAGAGAUUCAUAAUUUACAAGACAUUUGAAGUAAAAUAUAGGGGUACCUGGGUUCAGUAGGUGGAGCAUCCAACUUUGG